rnacentral:rRNA from 1 species
AUGCCUUACGAUGAGCGAUACACACCGUACAUCAAGCAGGCAGGACUACUCCCGUGGAUUCUGUUGGUCAGCCGGUCCACGCCGAAUUUGAACGCUCCACUGGUGUCCGCUCUUGUUGAUCGGUGGAGGCCAGAGACCCAGAGUUUCCAUCUUCGGACCGGGGAGAUGACCGUGACGCUCGAGGAUGUCUCGUUGAUCACCGGUCUUGCUAUCGACGGGAGGCCUCUAUGUAUGAGCACCGAUUCUGAUGGGUGGCGCUAG